rnacentral:rRNA from 1 species
GAGUUUGAUCAUGGAUCAAAACGAACGCUGGCGGCAGGCCUAACACAUGCAAGUCGAACGCCCCGCAAGGGGAGUGGCAAACGGGUGAGUAACACGUGGGAACCUUCCCUAUAGUACGGAAUAGCCCACGGAAACUUGGAGUAAUACCGUAUACGCCCGAAAGGGGAGAGAUUUAUCGCUAUAUGAUGGGCCCGCGUAGGAUUAGCUAGUUGGUGAGGUAAUGGCUCACCAAGGCGACGAUCCUUAGCUGGUUUGAGAGAACGACCAGCCACACUGGGACUGAUACACGGCCCAGACUCCUACGGGAGGCAUCAUUGGGGAAUAUUGGACAAUGGGCGCAAGCCUGAUCCAUCCAUGCCGCGUGAGUGAUGAAGGCCUUAUGGUUGUAAAGCUCUUUUGGCGGGGACGAUAAUGACGGUACCCGCAGAAUAAGUCCCGGCUAACUUCGUGCCAGCAGCCGCGGUAAUACGAAGGGGACUAGCGUUGUUCGGAAUCACUGGCCGUAAAGCGCACGUACGCGGAUAUGUCCGUCAGGGGUGAAAUCCCGGGGCUCAACCUCGGAACUGCCUUUGAUACACCAUGUCUUGAGUCCGAUAUAGGUGGGUGGAAUUCCUAGUGUAGAGGUGAAUUUCGUAUAUAUUAGGAAGAACACCGGUGGCGAAGGCGGCCCACUGAGAUCGGUACUGACGCUGAGUGCGAAAGCGUGGGGAGCAAACAUGAUUAAAUACCCUGCUAGUCCACGCCGUAGACGAUGGAUGCUAGCCGUUGGAUAGCUUGCUAUUCUGUGGCGCAGCUAUCGCAUUAUCAUCCCGCCUGGGAGUACUGCCGCUGAGUUCAAACUCAUACGAAUUGACGGGGGUCCGCACAGCUGUGGAGCAUGUGGCUUAAUUUACGCAUGCGUAGAACCUCACCAGCUCUUGACAUUCACUGAUUGCAGGCAGAGAUGCCCGAGUUCCAUCAAUGGUACACUGGGACAC